CAGUCGAGCGGACAGAUGGGAGCUUGCUCCCUGAAGUCAGCGGCGGACGGGUGAGUAACACGUGGGCAACCUGCCUGUAAGACUGGGAUAACUCCGGGAAACCGGGGCUAAUACCGGAUAAUUCUUUCCCUCACAUGAGGGAAAGCUGAAAGAUGGUUUCGGCUAUCACUUACAGAUGGGCCCGCGGCGCAUUAGCUAGUUGGUGAGGUAACGGCUCACCAAGGCAACGAUGCGUAGCCGACCUGAGAGGGUGAUCGGCCACACUGGGACUGAGACACGGCCCAGACUCCUACGGGAGGCAGCAGUAGGGAAUCUUCCGCAAUGGACGAAAGUCUGACGGAGCAACGCCGCGUGAGUGAUGAAGGUUUUCGGAUCGUAAAACUCUGUUGUUAGGGAAGAACAAGUACCGGAGUAACUGCCGGUACCUUGACGGUACCUAACCAGAAAGCCACGGCUAACUACGUGCCAGCAGCCGCGGUAAUACGUAGGUGGCAAGCGUUGUCCGGAAUUAUUGGGCGUAAAGCGCGCGCAGGCGGUUCCUUAAGUCUGAUGUGAAAGCCCCCGGCUCAACCGGGGAGGGUCAUUGGAAACUGGGGAACUUGAGUGCAGAAGAGAAGAGUGGAAUUCCACGUGUAGCGGUGAAAUGCGUAGAGAUGUGGAGGAACACCAGUGGCGAAGGCGACUCUUUGGUCUGUAACUGACGCUGAGGCGCGAAAGCGU
rnacentral:rRNA from 1 species